UACAGAGGGUGCGAGCGUUGUCCGGAAUCACUGGGCGUAAAGGGCGCGUAGGUGGCGACCCAAGUCGAUGGUGAAAGCUCGCCGCUCAACGGCGAGUCGGCCACUGAUACUGGGUUGCUGGAGCACUGUAGAGGCAGAUGGAAUUCCGGGUGUAGCGGUGGAAUGCGUAGAGAUGUGGAGGAAUACCGAUGGCGAAGGCAGCCUCCUGGGCCAACACUGACGCUCAUGCACGAAAGCGUGGGGAGCAAACAGG
rnacentral:rRNA from 1 species